UGCAGUGAAUGUGCCCAAUCUGAACUUCAAUGUGAACAAGACCGGAGUAAAGUGGAUUAUCCGAAAGUACAAAAAAGCUUUUAAGAAGGGAUCAAAAAUUUGAGCACCUGAGUUCCAAGAGUACCUAGCAAAAGCAUGGCUAGAUGAGGAUGAUGAUGACUCAGAUACACCAUGAAAAAGUCACCAUUGCCUAGACUUUUUAGAAUCAGUAUAUGGGAAUCGAUGGUCCGUCGAGAAGGGAUGAAUAGAGGAACUCAUAGGAAGAGGCCACGGCAAAUUCAACGACCUCAAGAACGACCUAAAUGCCGACAUUUGGAGCUGCCAUUAAAGGAGAAAUCUCUAAUAAUAGAGAAAUCUCCUAAGUUGAAAGAAAAGUUUUCUGAAGCUUUAGCACAUGAAGCAAUUGCCGAACAUGCGAUUGUUUUAGGAAAUUUUCUUUCUUUAACAUCAUUUUGAUUCAAUAAAUACACGUUCUAAUAAUGUAUGCUCCUUGUUUGCAGAUAAGGAAUCCACACAAUUUGAUUGGGUUGAUUCAGAAGAGGAAGAAAGGGUCAACUAUGAAACCGAGACCUAUAUCACUGAUCCUGAUGAAUCCGCUCGAGGAGACGAUGCAGGUGGAUCAUCUUACAUACCAGAUACUGAACCCAAGCCCAAAGUUGGCACUACGAUGACCAUGGCUUUUCCCAUCACCAGACUCUUUACCAAACAUUUGAUCUCUAUUGAGGAAUCAUCUGACUUUGAUGAAGACACUUGAAUUUCUCUAUUUCCCUAAGGAGAUGAGAUACGGAUCCUACUAAGAUCUGAACCUCAAAUUGAGAGUGGACCCAUGGUGGUGGUGGAAAACUCUGUUAGACCAGAGACCAAGAUCACCAACAUUAAUGAUGAGCCUACAGUCACACUACAAAAACAACGUGCGGUUCAAUUACCAUUGACAUCAAUUGCACCCCCAUCAUGACUGAGGACUUAGCUAUGGUGACUGAAGCAGGCCCGUCGAGGCAAGAAGAUACUCCUUUAUCUCCGGACUCUAAUAACUCAACUGAACUAUAUUUAAAUUCUAACUAAGAGCUUAAUGAAUUUAUUCAGUCAGAGUGUCGAGAGUGUUCUGACUCCCAUAAUAGGCUUUUCCUCCCACAUUAAGCAUUUAUUAAAGAGUCAGGCGACAUCCUUGCAUCAGUUGCUAGAGCUAAGUGCACGGAGCCUUUGAGGAAGAUCAACGACCAAACUGAACUCUAUUUUCUAGAACUAUAGAAUUUUCGUGAGGCCGAUGUUGCCAUUGUCAUGGACCUCAAGUUUGAUUGCCUCACAGUAGAGUGGCAUAAGCUUGAAGAGACUGCUUACAAGGAGGUAGAAGAGGUUAACCAAUGACUCUAAGAAUUAACCACUCAUUUUUUUAAGAUCGAUGGUGAAAAUACUAAAAUCACCUGUGCCAUCUUUGAUAAGGAAGCCACUAUCAAUAAGGCUAAGGCCCUUAUCGCCAAAGGGCAAGCUAUGUUAGAGAUGGAUCAGAAGAAAAAGGAGGAACUUGAGGUUAAGUUUGCCAAAUGGUUGCUGAGCAAAUCCAAAGAGCAAAACGCUUGAAGAUCGAAUGGGCCGGUUGGAUGUUGUCGAAGCCAGAGCAGUUCCAGCUAAUUCAAAGGUUUUGAAGGAGCAAACUUUGAACGACACCCUUGAUGUGUGAAAAAAUGGAAUGGCCUAAUGUGUAGAGCGUAUUAGGUCCUUGUAUCACUAAUGCUUUUGGCCUAUCUUUGUAUUGCAUUACUCACUUUUAUAAUGAAUUAGUUCAC